AUGCAUGUCUAAGAACAUAUGUGUAAACAUGAAUCUGCGAACGGCUCAUUAUUAACACCCAUAAUCUACCCAGUUUUCGUAUCCAAAACGGAUAUCUGCGUUAAUUUUGGAGCUAAUACGUGCACCAACGUGCUGCUAGCAAUAGUGGCACGCACUUAUUAGAUCAAGGCCGAUUGGGGCAACCCUUUUGGUGACUCUGAAUAAUUUUGCGGAUCGUAUGGUCUUGUACCGACGACGUACUGGUCGAGUGGGUGCCCUAUCAACUAUUGAUGGAAGUCUAUGUGUCUUCCAUGGUUGUAACGGGUAACGGAGAAUAAGGGUUCGACUCCGGAGAGCUAGCCUUAGAAACGGCUAUCACA
rnacentral:rRNA from 1 species